ACACAGACUUCCUGUCAGUUCUUGGUCAAGCAAGUUCUCGUCCACCUGAGGACCUUGUCCUUGCCUGUUCUUCCGUCUGCCUGGAAGGCUUUCUUCUGUCUUCUGUGCCUGGCUCCUUCCCCACCUUCCGGCCUCACUUGAGAUGUGAUCUUCUCUGACCAUCUUAGCUGAAGUUGGCCUCCUCUCCCUUAAUCUCCAUUGAGCUAAACAGUUUCUUUCAUCUAGAACUUACUAUAGUAAUUAUGUGUUUACUAGUUCACUGUCUGGAAUCGUUUACCCUAGAGCAGUCUACGAUGUAAAGCCAGGAUGGUCAAACUACAGCGCAAGCUUUGUUUUUGCAAAGCUCUGGAGCUUCCCUCUCUGCUGGUCACUCAUUCUUCUCUCUCCUGCUGCCAUAUGAAAAAGGACCCGUUUCCUUCCCCUUCUGCCAUGAUUGGACCUGGGAGUGCGACAUGGUGGCCUCAGGGGAAAAGGGCUCUCGUCUAGACCUUCUGACUGUCCUCUGGAUCUUCCUGGUGUCCAUGCGGGGCUGCUGCUCUGGGCUGGCCCCAGGGCCUUUGGCCAGUGUCCAUGAGACCCGGAAUUCCAGCAACCAGUUUGACAACUCCUACAGAGAAACAGGAUCCACAUAAGGAUACAGCUUCUUCAUAUCCCUGUCCCAUGACUUCACCCUGCGUUCUUCAACCAAUCAAUGUGUCAGGCCUCUGAGCCCAGGCCUGCACGUAUACAUCCAGAUGGCAUGAAGUAACUGAGGAAUCACAAAAGAAGUGAAACUGGCCGGUUCCUGCCUUAACUGAUGACAUUACCUUGUGAAAUUCCUUCUCCUGGCUCAUCUGGGCUCAGAAGCUCCUCCACUGAGCACCUUGUGACCCCCCACCCCUGUCCGCCAGAGAGCAACCCCCUUUGACUGUAAUUUUCCACUACCUACCCAAAUCCUGUGAAAUGGCCCCACCCCAUCUCCCUUCACUGACUCUAUUUUCGGACUCCGCCCGCCUGCACCCAGGUGAAAUAAACAGCCUUGUUGCUCACACAAA